GAAGAUGUUUUGUCUAUCCUUGAGUGUUGAAUGUUAUAAAUAUAAGGACUUGUGAAUGUAUGUUAGCCAUGUGUACCUGUCAUCUUGCAAACUGACUUCCCAAGAACACAGUCUCCUGUGGACCAUCUAUUCCAGUUCUCUCAUCCAAUGGUGGCCUUCUCAAAUAAAAAUGGAAACAAAGACAUUUGCUCUGUUCCAAAACCUAGUGAUCUGCAACAUUUAUAAGCUCACCCCCAAUACGAAUCCCAAUGCUGUUCCAAAUAGAAUGCAGGACUGCAUGUAUCAUUCAGGUAAUCCUAGAACGAACUGACUAAAAUUUCCAUUUCAAAUAGGAAAUGUCAAUUGCAAAGUAUAGCUUAUAAAUACAAAGUAUAUUAAUUCAGUACUGACACAUAUCAUUGAAAAACACGGCCACGUCAUAUGACCUGUGAGCUUAGCAACAUGCUAACAUUAUACUUUAUAAGAAUCAACUGUGUUAGUAGUCUCUCAUGUGCAUCAUGGGCCUCUUUAAUCAAAUAGUAGCACAAUACAUUUGUAAAUCAUUUGUAACAUAUCUAACAGACCUUUUCUGUCUGCAAAAUUUUGUUAAUGUGACGGCUCCUUUACAAUAUGUCUUUCCUUUUGGGAAGACAAUAGCAGACAAUAGAGUUAAACAGUUGUAUUAAUAUUUUCUCUUUAAUCCAAGUCACCUACGUUUAUAUAGAGCUUUAUACAAUACUAAACAGGAAAGAAACAGAAUCAGUGACGCAAACUUCAUCAAAUAUGAGGCAAUCCGAAUUCUGCUGUAAAGCAGCUCUAACAAAACAUUUCCAAAAUAGUUGCAGUCAUUUGGAAAUGCCAACUGAGCUCAUAUUGGUUUUCUUUCAUAACUUGGAGCCAGUGAUGUAAUUGGAUGUGGCAUCCACCUUAAUUAUGUAUCAGGGUAUCAAAACUUUGCAUUUAUCAUUAACAUUUCUUCUAAAACUUCUUGUUGGAAAAUAUAAUUCAUAAUACAGAAUUAUGUUUUAAAUGAUGUGCACUAGACCGACAGGUCAAUAAAUCACAAUGCUAGAUUAUUUUCCCAAUUGUGGUGGAUUGUUUUCCUUUAAGACUGUAAAAUAUUAAACCUGCAGCCUGAGAAUGUGUAAAUAUGGAUCUUCUCCACUGUGGAUAUAAAGCCUUUUGUCUUAUAGCCGGUACGCAAACAAAUACCUUUACAUUAAUACAGCUGGAGUGUUUUACCUUCAGGAGUAAAUAUUUAUCCAGUUAAAAAUAGUUGAACUCUACGCUCAAAUAUGUAAAAUAAUAAAGAUGUCUGACAUUUGCAAAUAAGGAUGAAUAUGGAGUCUUUAUUUUGUGUCAUUUGAAAUAGUAUUUGCA
rnacentral:lncRNA from 1 species